rnacentral:rRNA from 1 species
GAUGAACGCUGGCGGCGUGCCUAAUACAUGCAAGUCGAGCGAACGGACGAGAAGCUUGCUUUUCUGAUGUUAGCGGCGGACGGGUGAGUAACACGUGGAUAACCUACCUAUAAGACUGGGAUAACUUCGGGAAACCGGAGCUAAUACCGGAUAAUAUUUUGAACCGCAUGGUUCAAAAGUGAAAGACGGUCUUGCUGUCACUUAUAGCUGGAUCCGCGCUGCAUUAGCUAGUUGGUAAGGUAACGGCUUACCAAGGCAACGAUGCAUAGCCGACCUGAGAGGGUGAUCGGCCACACUGGAACUGAGACACGGUCCAGACUCCUACGGGAGGCAGCAGUAGGGAAUCGUACGCAAUGGGGGAAAGCCUGACGGAGCAACGCCGCGUGAGUGAUGAAGGUCUUCGGAUCGGAAAACUCUGUUAGUAGGGGAGAACAUAUGUGUAAGUAACUGUGCACAUCUUGACGGUACCUAAUCAGAAAGCCACGGCUAACUACGUG